rnacentral:antisense_RNA from 1 species
CUCUAUGAGCGGCGGUGGUGGGGAUACCUUCGGGUAUGCCGGUUUCCUUUGUCACCGGUUCGCCAACCCCACCACUUGCUGCUCACCCCG